UCCGCGGGGGCGUGUGGAUCAAGAGCUUCACAGCCAUUCCCCACGCUGACAGACCGCUGCUCGGCGGAUUGAUGCUGCUUUGCUUAUUUUAACUUUUUAAUUGGAUUAUUUCUACGUUAU